GAAGUAAGCCAAGACAACCGCUGGCUGUCAUUUCGGUGAUGGCGGGAGGAAGGUCCGGACUCCAUAGAGCAGGGUGACGGUUAACGGCCGUCCGCCGUGAGGCGAGGAAUAGGGCCACAGAGACGAGCGUAUUAAGUUACGGUGAAACGCGGUAACCUCCACUCGGAGCAAUUCCAAAUAGGCACGCGUUGACGUUGCUCGCGGAGCGUGCGGGUAGGAAGCUUGAGCCGUGGAGUAAUUCACGGCCUAGAGGAAUGGUUGUCAUAACGCAUGGGCUUGCCCAUGCGUCGUAACAGAAUCCGGCCUAUCGGCUUGCUUCAACU
rnacentral:RNase_P_RNA from 1 species